GAUGAAGAACGUAGCGAAAUGCGAUACUUGGUGUGAAUUGCAGAAUCCCGUGAACCAUCGAGUCUUUGAACGCAAGUUGCGCCUCAAGCCAUUAGGUUGAGGGCAAGUCUGCCUGGGCGUCACAUAUCGUUGCCUGAUGCCAGUUUCCUCGUGAUGGGUGACUGUGCAGGGCGAAUGAUGGCUUCCCGUGAGCAUUGUUGCCUCAUGGUUGGUUGAAAAUUGAGUCCUUGGUAGGGAGCGCCGUGAUAGAUGGUGGUUGAGUGACGAACGAGACCCAAUCAUGUGAGACCCCUACCGAAUUUGGCCUUCAUGACCCACAUGCGUCUUUGGAACGCUCAUGACGAGACCUCAGGUCAGGCGGGGCUACCCGCUGAGUUUAAGCAUAUCAAUAAGCGGAGGA
rnacentral:misc_RNA from 1 species